rnacentral:rRNA from 1 species
GGUAUUAUUAGUUAUGAGCUUUAAAUCCAAAGAAUUUGGCAGUAUUUAAGUCUAGUUAGAGGAACCUGUACUAUAAACGAUAAACCACGAUUAUCUUUCUUUGUUUUGUACAUCAGUAUGUAUACCGUCAUUAUUAAGUGGUCUUAUUAAAGAAAACUAUAAUAAAAAUUUUUUAAUAUAUUAGAUCAAGGUGCAGCUAAUGGUAAAGUGAGUUAUGGGUUACAAUUUAUCAAAUAAAAACGGACAGGUGCUUGAAAAUAAGAGCUUUAAAGGAGGAUUUAAUUGUAAGGAUAGUAAAUUGAGCUAAUUUGAUAAAGCACUUAAAUAUGCACACAUCG